GGCGCCGCAUCAAUAAUCCGCAACUGCGCGUCUAGUGGUUGGUGGGCUUGAGAUUCACUUUGCAGCAUAAAAGGUUCAAGAGAAAAGAAGGGGUUGAUGCCCUGUCAAGAUGGAUCCUAAAGCUCAAGAGUUGUUAGCUCAGCUUGCUGUGACUGGUUCAAAUGAGGAAGGUUUUCAGUUACAACAAGGCCUGAUUAAACUCCGUGGCAAGGUGUGGGGGAAGUUGUAGUCAUUUCUUCCAGUUUGUUCUCACAGAAUGUUGGUGCAUCGAAAGUUGUAUCUCAUUCGUUGAAUGGGGUGUAGUCUUUCUAAGUCUUGUUGUGUUAAAUUCUAACUUAUGUACGACAUUUGUUUCCUUUAAUGAAACCGGAGGGAUGCCCUCUGCCUUAAAAAAAAAGGUGUGGGUGGGUGCUAAUGUGGGGCUUGAGAGACCAAGUUAACAGAAGCAUUUCAUGCUAGUGCACUGGAAGGACAUUCUGGAGUUUAUGCCACUUAUCAACACAUCAGCAAUUUAUUUGCUUGCACCGGUCUCAAAUUACAGUUUGUCGGCAAGCAAAAUAUGAACAUUGUAAAUCACAUGGGUUGUUGCACUCUUUGUCUAUGCCUAAAGUAGCUUGGCAGGAUAUAUCCAUGGAUUUAUUGAUGGUCUUCCUAAGUUAGCUGGUUUUAAAGUGAUUGCCCAUUUCUUCCGCUCAAGCAUCCUUACACUCAACAUCUGUAGGGAAGGCCAUGUUUCAAAAUAUUGUGAAGCUACAUGGCAAUAGAGACAGUGUUUACAAGUAAUUUGGGAAGGAGUUGUUUGCACUUCUGGAUACUAAAUUGCAGAUGCCGUGACUAUCAUCCUCAAAGUGAUGGCCACACUGAGAGGCUGAACCAUUCUUUGGAAAUGUACCUCAGGUGUGCUACACAUGCUCAACCCAAGCGGGUUCCAUCGGCUUCCUCUGGCAGAGUUCUGGUACAACAGUUCUUACCAUAUGACUGGGAUGUACUCCUUUCAAGGAUAUGUACAAUCAAGAGUCGCAUCAUGGUAG